rnacentral:rRNA from 1 species
UACGUAGGCGGCUUUGUAAGUUAGAGGUGAAAGCCCGGAGCUCAACUCCGGAAUUGCCUUUAAGACUGCAUCGCUUGAAUCAUGGAGAGGUGAGUGGAAUUCCGAGUGUAGAGGUGAAAUUCGUAGAUGUUCGGAAGAACACCAGUGGCGAAGGCGACUCACUGGACAUGUAUUGACGCUGAGGUACGAAAGCGUGGGGAGCAAACA